rnacentral:lncRNA from 1 species
GUUCACUAUGGAGCUAAAAAGCUUUGCUUGCAGAACCAACAGUUUUCUUCUGAAAACUUAACUAAUCCUUGUUAAAUUUAUCCUCUCUCAGUUUGACUCCCUUCCAAAACCUACCACAAAUACAAAAACAUGAUGGUGCUGCAUUACAAAUCCUUGCUGGUACAACUAAGCUAUCAAUGUAACAAAAGUAGGGUGCUGCUCAGGUACUGUUCUUUCUAAAUGAAAUUCUGGUGAGAUUUAAGAAUUCUAGAGGAAUUGGGUUCUAUUCUAUCUUUACCGUCUUUGGUGCAGACAAUAUUGAACAAUAUAAUGAAGAAAACUCUUAUUAACUUUGUUAGUUGAAGCUCUAAGCAUGAUUAUAAACAAGCAUUGACGUUGAUUGACAUGUCAAUUUACUUUUAUGGUCCUUUUUUUGAAUAAGUUUGAUUACUCUUUACAGAACUUAUAGUACCAAUAUUUACUGUAACAUCUUGGAUACUUUAGAGAGCAAGUAAACAUUUACUGUUGGUAGAAUGUUUAGGAACUAUAAAACAAGAAUAGAUUUACUUCGAAAAUAUAGUUUUGCAUCUUCAAAAAUCUCUGUAAGGCUUUUUAAAACCACUACCAUAAUUAAGUCUUAUUAGCAAAUAGAAAAUGGAUGGUCAUGAGUUGUAGGAAAUGAUUUUCCAAGAGCUUGUCGGGAAAGGAAAAUUUUGUUCUGGAGCGUAGAUUAUCCUAAUUGUGGCCUUAAAGUGGAGACAGCUGAAAGUAAGACCCAAAAGUUAUUUUCUGACCAAACUUGAUCCCUUCCAUUGAUGACCGAAAUGUAUCAAAUCCUUCACCUUUAUAUGCAAAGUCAAGAAUCAAAGGCAUAGAAAAUUAAGAGUUAAUUGUUUCAAUAAUCAUCUAACUUAUACCAUUGUCACGGUUUACUCACUAAACUUCAAAGUGCUUCACAGUGCUCACUAAACUUUAUCUGUUUGCACUCCAUCCAUUACCCUAAAAAAAUCCGUUACCUUAUUCGUUGAUGUGGCCGACGGAAAUUUGACCGUAAAAAAAGUUACAAUUCAACCAAACUAUUGUUUCAUUACUCAUCCAACUUACACUUGGUCAUAGUUUACUCAUUGAACUUCAAAAUGCUUCCUAAUAGUCAUUCAUCUUUAAGAUGUUGCAUGCACUUCAUCAAUCAUCCGUCAUAUUUUGUUUCAUUCAUUCCUAAUGUUCGCAUUGAAAUACCACAUGGUAAGUUAUAAAUGUUAAAGAAGUUACAACUCAACAAAACUAUCAACUCAUCAAAAUCAGCAUAUGUGAAAUGUGACUUCGACGGCCCCAUAAGCUUCUUUAAAACCCAAGUUAAUUGUUUCCAAAUAAUACGAUGGUCAUGGUUUACUCACUAAACUUCAAAACGCUUCACAGUGCUCACUGAACUUUGUUCAUUUACGCUACAUCCAUCACCCUAAAAAACUCGUUACUGUUUUGCUGAUGUGUCUAACUGAAAUCUGACAUGUCAAGUUAUGGCCGUUAAAAAAAUUAUAACUAAGCCAAAUCAUUAUUUCGUUACUCAUCCAACUCACAUUAUGUCACAGUUUACUUCUGAAAUUUCAAACUGUUUCCCAAUGGUCACUCAUUUUUGAAAUGUUGUACUUCAUCCAUUAUCCAUUUAUCCUCUAUUUUGUCCACUUCGUUGGUACGAAAAUUCUGCUGGUAAGUACAAUCAUAAAAAAGUUACAAUUCAAUCAAAUCAUCAACUUACAAAAAUCACCAUAUGUAAAACUCGACUUCCACACCACCAUAAACUUCUUUAAAGCACAAUAAAUCGUCCCUAAUUUUAGCCCUAAAAAAUCUUAGUGAUAAGUGCAUUAUGUUACAUUUAUUUAGGCCUUUAAAUUAGAGUAUUUGUUGGACAUUUUAAUGAAUUAUAUUUUAAUUCUAUAUAAAUUGUGUUUGUUAGGUAAAGAUUGAUUAAAUUGAUGAAAUUUGAGAUAGUAAACAAGAAAAAUGGUGAAAAUAGAUAAAAUAUAAUCGCAAUAUAAAACUAUGAUUGAGGAUCACAUAUGAUCAAUUGUACGCAAUUAAAAGUUAAAAUGGCGAAAUAUAGACAAGACAUUUUCUCAAAUGAAUUUAUAAAAACCAAACAUAUUAUAGUUCAGAUUUUUUGAAACCUAUUUUUCGCACAAUAAACGUUCAAAUUGGAAAAUUAAUAUUUCUAAAAGAAUUAUUGGGGACGCUUUAUUGGGUUUUAAAGAAGCUUAUGGGGCCGUGGAAGUCACGUUUCACAUAUGGUGAUUUUGGUGAGUUGAUAGUUUUGUUAGGUUGUAGUUUUUUUAACAUUUAUAACUUACCACGUGGAAUUUCAAUGCGAACAUUAGGAACGAAGGAAACAACAGAUGACAAAUGAUUGAUGAAGUACAACAUUUCAAAGAUGAGUGACCAUUAGGAAGCAUUUUGAAGUGCAAUGAGUAAAUUGUGAUCAAGUAUAAGUUGGAUGAGUAAUGAAACAAUAGUUAAGUUGAACUGUAAUUUCUUUAAUGGUUGUAACUUGUCACCUCAGAUUUCCGUAAGCCACGUCAGCGAAUAAGGUAACGGAUUUUUUUAGGGUGAUGGAUGGAGUGCAAACGGAUAAAGUUCAGUGAGCACUGUGAAGCGUUUUGAAGUUUUGUGAGUAAAACAUGACCUUCGUAUAAGUUGGGUGAUUAUUGGAACAAUUAACUCGGAAAAUUAAUGUAUAGAGAUGUCUUCCUUGGAUUGUCAAUUGACAGAAUCUUGCAUGAUGUUUUUUUUACCUCGUUAAAUACCCUCGAUUAACAAUAAUCUUCAGGUUAUGUAGGUGUAAAUGUGUACUGUUGGACUUGUUUGCCUUAUCGGCCAGAAAGCUUUGAGUGAUCUGCAGAACACUAUACGCUUAAAUAGAAAUUUUCCAGUUUAGUAUUACAGUGUUCUUCAUUGAUGUGCAAUUUCACGGGCUUUGAAUGGUUGACAAUUGGACGACUAACUGAAGUAUCUGAUGAUUACUUCUGUUUUACCAGAGCAAAUGGAGUCUGAAGUAGAAAAGAGCGGCAGCUGGUGGAUACAUGUUAAACAAGCUUCUGAUGGGACAAAAUGAACAGCUUUUGACGCGCAUGAAGAUAUCGUACCUUGAAGAUGGUCCAUUUUAGUUCGUUGUUUGAUAAGACGAGAGGAAUAAGUGCUAAAGCUACAGCUAUUUUGUAUUUUGAUUUGUAUGAUAUGUAGUCGAAUAGAUCAAAAAGGUAGCCUAUGGGUUUGCAUAUGAAGAGAAACCAAAGCUCAAGACUAUUCGACUAGAAAGGUAGCCUAUGGGUUUGCAUAUGAAGAGACUACCAAAGCUCAAGACUAUCUCAUUGCAAAAUACUUUUGUGUAGAUGCGUACUUUUUAAAUAGAUACUUUUUAAGCUAAUUCAAACGUGUUCUAAAAUGGCUUAUCUCUACAUGGUGUAAUAUGAGGCAAAAAAAUGGACAUACGAGACCUUAAGUAUCGUAGGGUUGUUCAAUAAAACUUGUGACUAAAGUUUUGGUAGAUUUUGAUUAAAGUUGAUGAAAUUUGUAGUUGAAAAGUUGAUGAAAAUUGUAAGUUCCAUCAAAUGUGUGAUUAGAAAUGAGAUUUGAC